rnacentral:lncRNA from 1 species
CAUUCCACUCGGGAAUCGAAAUCGGAAUGGGACUCCCGCGUACCAAACACCCAUAAACGGAUUCACCCAUUCCAAUUUUGAUUCCAUGGUGAAAAAGAAGCGAACCAAACACGUCCCAAGAGAAAAACUGCCGAAAAGAAAAAAAAUGAAACUACAAAAUACUAAAUUGACAUUUCUUUAAGAUACUAAAGUGUGCGAAAGUGUGAAAUUAUUAUAGGGGAUAAGAAAAAAGUGGCUAUUCCAGGGAUAGGUAUAAAUUAAGGUAUAAACGAGGAUUAGAUCAAUUUUACGUUUGGAUGAAAAUUCGGUUAUUCCUGGAAUAAAAAAAAUAGCGUUUGGUUAGGUAAGAUGGAAUAAGAAAGAUAAUGGGUUUUGUAAAUAAAAAAUAAUGAUAUUAUCCACUUAUUAUAUUUGAAUUUGAAUUUUUAAAUUUUUAAAUUUAUAUUUCUAAAUUUAAAAUUUUAACUUUGAAAUUUAAAAUCUCAAAUUUUAAAUUCAAAAUUUUAAAUUUUAAAUUUCAAACUUUAAAUUUAAGAUCAUAUUUAAAUUUAAAAAAAUAUAAAAUAUCAAAUUUUAAAUUUCAAAAAUUUAAAAUAUCAAAAUUUAAAUUUAAAAUUUAAAAUUUAUAAUUUAAAAUUUUAAACUUUAAUUUUGAGAUUAUAAAUUAUAAAUUUUAAAAAUUUAAAUUUUUAAUUUUUAAAAUUUUAAAAUAAGAAUAGUGGUGGGAACAAUUAAUAAAAAUAAUUUAUUAUAAUAAAUUUAUAAAUUUUUUAAAAAUUCUACUUAAAUUUAAAUUUAAUAAAAAGAAUUUAUUAUAAUAUUUAAAUAUAAUUUAUUAUAAAUUUUAUUAUAAUAUUUAAAUAUAAAUAAUAUGUAUUAAUAUAGUACAAUUAAUAAUUUUAUAAUAAAAAUAAUGUAUUAUAAUAUAUAACAUAUUAUAUUUAUAUAAUUUAGUUUAAUUCAAUUUAUAAGUUUAAUUAAGUUUAAAAUUAAGAAUUAGAAUAGCACUAUUCCACCAAAAUGGUGGAAUAGCAAAUCCUUUGCUAUUCCGGAAUAAUCGAGAAUAGCAAGAUUUGACCGGAAUAAAAUAUCCCGGUCAAAUUUCACCCCGUUUGGUGGAAUAGCGGGGAUAACGAAAGUU